rnacentral:tRNA from 1 species
ACUAAUUUGGCAGAAAAAUUGUGUCAAAUUUAGAAUUUGAGAAUGGGUUACCAAUUAGUA